rnacentral:rRNA from 2 species
GACAGAGGGUGCAAACGUUGUUCGGAAUUACUGGGCGUAAAGCGUGUGUAGGCGGCUACAUAAGUCGGAUGUGAAAGCCCCGGGCUCAACCCGGGAAGUGCACUCGAUACUGCGUAGCUUGAGUCUCGGAGAGGUUGGUGGAAUUCUCGGUGUAGAGGUGAAAUUCGUAGAUAUCGAGAGGAACACCGGUGGCGAAGGCGGCCAACUGGACGAAGACUGACGCUGAGACACGAAAGCGUGGGGAGCAAACAGG